GUCUACAGCCAUGCCACCCUGAACAAGCCCGAUCCUGUCUGAUCUCGGAAGCUAAGCAGGGUCGGGCCUGGUUAGUACUUGGCUGAGAGACCACCUAGGAAGAUCAGGUGCUGUAGGUG
rnacentral:rRNA from 1 species